GGGGGCUUGGUAAAGUGGCAUCACAUCUCUCUCCAAAAGAGAAGUCGGGGGUUCGAUUCCCUCAGCCCUCG
rnacentral:tRNA from 1 species